rnacentral:rRNA from 1 species
ACGAACGCUGGCGGCGUGCCUAAUACAUGCAAGUCGCGCGAGAAAGUCCUUCGGGAUGAGUAGAGCGGCGCACGGGAGAGUAAUACAUAGGAACGUACCUUUUUGUGGGGGAUAACCACGGGAAACUGUGGCUAAUACCGCAUGAUGUCGUGAGACCAAAGCAGGCCACUGUUUACAAGCUUGCGCAGAAAGAGCGGCCUAUGUCCCAUUAGCUUGUUGGUGAGGUAAUGGCUCACCAAGGCGACGAUGGGUAGCUGGUCUGAGAGGAUGAUCAGCCUCACUGGGACUGAGACACGGCCCAGACUCCUACGGGAGGCAGCAGUAGGGAAUUUUGCACAAUGGGCGCAAGCCUGAUGCAGCAACGCCGCGUGAGUGAAGAAGGCCCUUGGGUUGUAAAGCUCUUUCGGCCAAGAAGAAGGGUCUACUUGCGAACAGUCUGUAGAUCUGACGGUAUUGGAAGAAGAAGUACCUGCUAACUACGU